rnacentral:tRNA from 2 species
GCCCUUGUAGCUAAAUGUAUAAAGCACCGGUCUUGUAAUCCGGAGACUGGGGGUUAAAGUCCCCCCAUGUGCC